rnacentral:rRNA from 1 species
GUCUCAAAGAUUAAGCCAUGCAUGUCUAAGUAUGAAUGUUUUUGUACUGUGAAACUGCGAAUGGCUCAUUAAAUCAGUUAUAGUUUACUUGAUGGUAACCGUACUCGGAUAACUGUACCAAUUGUAGAGCUAAUACGUGCACCAAGUCCCGACUUCUGGAAGGGAUGUAUUUAUUAGAUACAAAGCCAAUGCGGGCUCCGGCCCGGUACAGUUGGCGAGUCAUGAUAACUGCUCGAAUCGCAUGGCCGUGCGCCGGCGAUGGUUCAUUCAAAUUUCUGCCCUAUCAACUUUCGAUGGUAGGGUAUUGGCCUACCAUGGUUACAACGGGUAACGGAGAAUUAGGGUUCGAUUCCGGAGAGGGAGCCUGAGAAACGGCUACCACAUCCAAGGAAGGCAGCAGGCGCGCAAGUUACCCAAUCCCGACUCGGGGAGGUAGUGACAAUAAAUAACAAUGCUGGGCUAUUUUGGUCUGGCAAUUGGAAUGAGAACAAUCUAAAUCCCUUAACGAGGAACAAUUGGAGGGCAAGUCUGGUGCCAGCAGCCGCGGUAAUUCCAGCUCCAAUAGCGUAUAUUAAAGUUGUUGCAGUUAAAAGCUCGUAGUUGGGUUUCGGAGCGGUCAGGCUGGUCCGCCGAGAGGCGAGUACUGGCCGGCCGCUCUUCCUCUCGGAGUCCCUGUCUGCUCUUUGUUGCAGNGGGCAGGGAAUUCGGGACGUUUACUUUGAAAAAAUUAGAGUGUUCAAAGCAGGCGAUUGCUUGAAUACAUUAGCAUGGAAUAAUGGAAUAGGACCUCGGUCCUAUUUCGUUGGUUUUUAGGACCGAAGUAAUGAUUAAUAGGGACAGUUGGGGGCAUUCGUAUUUAAUUGUCAGAGGUGAAAUUCUUGGAUUUAUGAAAGACGAACCACUGCGAAAGCAUUUGCCAAGGAUGUUUUCAUUAAUCAAGAACGAAAGUUAGGGGUUCGAAGACGAUCAGAUACCGUCCUAGCCCUAACCAUAAACUAUGCCGACUAGGGAUCAACGCAUGUUAUUGAAUGACUCCGUUGGC